UUCAGAUUUUAAUUCGUUGAUGGUAACAGGUCUGAUUUUUUGUUCGUCUGGUCUAUCGCUACUUUGCAGCACUGAUUCAAUUUCCUCCCUGUCUUCUAGAUCUGCCGUGAUUCCGAGAAUGAGAUAAGUAAUGUGUAGAAACUGGCUGGAUAUUUUUUUUUUUUAAGGCUCGUUUGUUCGAUUUUUUUUGGAAGUGUGUUUGUCGUGUGAGCAUUAUUGGAAGACUAACUUCCUGAAGGAGACCAGUUUUUACACACCUUGCAUUAGCAAGGGGGGAAAGGGGCCGUCAAUAAGAAAUAUCCGUUUUAUUUGCAUUUAUACUCUUAAAUUAGCGUAUUUAACAAAAUUUCUUGGCGCCAACUACUUACUUUACAUUUUCCAUGUAGUUGCAAUGUUUUUAGCUGAAAAAUGGGAUGCUAACACUAGUUGCAGUAAGGGUAGGUAUUUGGUAUUUUUCCAUGUAAGCAUUUUGAGUGAAAAAAGGUUUGGUAACACUAGGACUUAACAUUAACAUGUGUUUUGUAAGGGCUAUUGUGUUGCCUUACAGACGAUAGUUUUAUCUUUAACAGUUUUUACAUUAUACAUUUUACAUUACAUGGGAGCUAAGAGUGAGAGUCCAAGUCGGCGACGGUAGCCUAAGGGCCCGGUGAUGUUGAGGGACAAACGGGUGACAGCCGGCAACAUCCAGAGGCCAGGCAGAUGCAUGAGCAACUCUAGCGCCACCGCUCCUAUACGCCAUCUACUUAUUUGUAUAUGUAGUAAAUUCAAAUAAUACAUAACAUAUUUUACAUGUA